UACGUAGGGUGCGAGCGUUAAUCGGAAUUACUGGGCGUAAAGCGUGCGCAGGCGGUUUUGUAAGCCAGAUGUGAAAUCCCCGGGCUUAACCUGGGAAUGGCAUUUGGGACUGCAAGGCUUGAGUGCGGCAGAGGAGACUGGAAUUCCUGGUGUAGCAGUGAAAUGCGUAGAUAUCAGGAGGAAUACCGAUGGCGAAGGCAGGUCUCUGGGCUGACACUGACGCUCAUGCACGAAAGCGUGGGGAGCGAACGGG
rnacentral:rRNA from 1 species